rnacentral:rRNA from 1 species
UACGUAGGGUGCAAGCGUUGUCCGGAAUUAUUGGGCGUAAAGAGCUCGUAGGCGGUUUGUCGCGUCUGCUGUGAAAUCUGGGGGCUCAACCCCCAGCCUGCAGUGGGUACGGGCAGACUAGAGUGCGGUAGGGGAGAUUGGAAUUCCUGGUGUAGCGGUGGAAUGCGCAGAUAUCAGGAGGAACACCGGUGGCGAAGGCGGCAUCCUGGACCGAUAUUGACGCUGAGGCGCGAAAGCCAGGGGAGCAAACGGG